CAGCAGCCGCGGUAAAACGGAGGGUGCAAGCGUUAAUCGGAAUUACUGGGCGUAAAGCGCACGCAGGCGGUCUGACAAGUCAGAUGUGAAAUCCCCGGGCUUAACCUGGGAACUGCAUUUGAAACUGUCAGGCUGGAGUCUUGUAGAGGGGGGUAGAAUUCCAGGUGUAGCGGUGAAAUGCGUAGAGAUCUGGAGGAAUACCGGUGGCGAAGGCGGCCCCCUGGACAAAGACUGACGCUCAGGUGCGAAAGCGUGGGGAGCAAACAGGAUUAGAUACCCCUGUAGUCCCUGUCUCUUAUAC
rnacentral:rRNA from 1 species